rnacentral:rRNA from 1 species
UUGAACGCUGGCGGCAGGCCUAACACAUGCCAGUCGAACGGUAACAGGAAGAAGCUUGCUUCUUUGCUGACGAGUGGCGGACGGGUGAGUAAUGUCUGGGAAACUGCCUGAUGGAGGGGGAUAACUACUGGAAACGGUAGCUAAUACCGCAUAAUGUCGCAAGACCAAAGAGGGGGACCUUCGGGCCUCUUGCCAUCGGAUGUGCCCAGAUGGGAUUAGCUAGUAGGUGGGGUAACGGCUCACCUAGGCGACGAUCCCUAGCUGGUCUGAGAGGAUGACCAGCCACACUGGAACUGAGACACGGUCCAGACUCCUACGGGAGGCAGCAGUGGGGAAUAUUGCACAAUGGGCGCAAGCCUGAUGCAGCUAUGCCGCGUGUAUGAAGAAGGCCUUCGGGUUGUAAAGUACUUUCAGCGGGGAGGAAGGGAGUAAAGUUAAUACCUUUGCUCAUUGACGUUACCCGCAGAAGAAGCACCGGCUAACUCCGUG